GUAGUUGGACUUUGGGUUGGGUCGAUCGGUCUGCCAUUGGUGUGCACUGGUCGGCUCGGCCCUUCUGCUGGCGAUGUGCUCCUGGCCUUAACUGGUCGGGCUGUUCCUCUAGUGCUGUUACUUUGAAGAAAUUAGAGUGCUCAAAGCAAGCCUAGGCUCUGGAUACAUUAGCAUGGGAUAACACCACAGGAUUCUGAUCUUAUUGUGUCGGCCUUCGGGAUCGAAGUAAUGCGACCCCGUAAAUCUG
rfam:Lupinus angustifolius cultivar Tanjil chromosome LG06, whole genome shotgun sequence.